CUUUGCCAAGGGUGUGGUAUGCAUACAUCCUUGAUGUGUGUCGGUGUCAAGUCUUCCACCUAAGGUGUCUGGUGACUUGUUCAUCACCGGCGAAUGAGAGAGAAUCAUCAGCAUCCUCCAGCUUGAACGGACGAAGAGUAAUCUUUGGUAAGUCAAUCUCCAUUUGAUUAGAUUGUAAUGGAAAAACGAUAUGGUGACCAAGGCCAUUUAUAAUAGUCUUGUUGGUCAAAGUAUUAUUGACUAUAUAUAUGGAAAAGCUAUGUAUUAGAAUAUUGUUUAAUUAUGUUUCUAGAAAAUUUUUCACAAAUUUUUUUUAUGUUUAAAGGAAAUUUCCCAUAUUUUUUUCCUAAAUAAAAGAAGUUUAAAGAGAAAAAUAUUAAAAUUUUGAUGUUCGUAUAUUUUGUUUAAUGAUAAAAUGUAAAGAGUUAAGUUUGUCUAGGUAUAUUUUAUAAAAAAAAAUUCUUUUUAAUAAUUUCUUUUUUUUUGACAAUUUUUUUAUUACAACAAGGUCGAUUGACUUCUAUCAUCCAUUAUUUGGGUUUGUAUACUUCAUUUUGAAGAUUCAAUUUUAUUUGGUUUGGAUGUGAUAUUUAGAUUUUUUUUUUUCCAAUCAUCAUGCCACAAAAUAAAAUUUCUAUAGAUCAAUUUUAUAUAUAUAGACUUGGGUCUUUUUUUUUUGUUUUUUUUAAUAGUUUGUCACAAUUCUUUUUAAGGAUUCAAUCAGUAAAAAAUAAUCAUAAUUAUCUUUGAGAUUGAUGACCUUAAAUCAAACUUUUCGAGUUUAUAUUUAACACAUUAUCAAUUUAUAAUAUUUAUUUAUUAACGCUAAAUUACAAAAUAUUAUAUCAUAAAUAUGUAAAAGUAAAAAUUUAAAAAUUAUUUAAAGUAAAUAUUUUAAAAUAAUAAAUACAUAUUUUUUAACAUUUUCAAACUUCUAAAUUUAUUUAUUAAAGAGAUAGGAACGUUUGAUACAUUGAUAGUAUAUAAAAAAUCCAUACACUAAUAAUUUGUUAAAUAUAAACCUAAUUUUUUCACAAUGAUUUCACAAAAUUAAUUGCUAUAUAUAUAAUAAUUCACUUUUGUAUAACUAUUUAUGUACGUAAAGAAGAAAAUAAGAACAAGGUUAAACAAUAUUAUUUUUAUUUGUGAACAAACAUGUUACAAAAGGGAGAUAAAUUGUAAAAGAAUAUUAUAAAAUAAUAAUUAUAAAAUAAUAAAUGAAAUAUCAUAGACAUGAUCUUCCUUUGUUACAUGCAUGAAAUAUUCAAGCCUUUGUUUCAAAGUAGACCAGAAGCUAGAGGAAAAUUCCUCUCCUGUUAGUUCCAUCACCGGCAAUUCUGGGAAGGAGCAAUGGUGCCCUUGUUGCAGCUCAAUUGUUGGUAGGCUUCAUCUGAUUAGGAAGGUGGUUUGGCCCUCCAUUCAACCCACCUGACAAAAUACAGAAGAAUCCAUUAACACCAUUACUCUUCAUUGCUACAAACAUUCCUGGGUCGUCAUUACUGCAGAAGAAUGAAUAAAGGAAUAAAGAGAAAGAUUCCUGGGUAUUACCU
rnacentral:lncRNA from 1 species